rnacentral:rRNA from 1 species
CACGCCGUAAACGAUGGAUACUAGGUGUAGGGGGCGAUAGCCCUCUGUGCCGCAGCAAACGCAAUAAGUAUCCCGCCUGGGGAGUACGAUCGCAAGGUUGAAACUCAAAGGAAUUGACGGGGGCCCGCACAAGCAGCGGAGCAUGUGGUUUAAUUCGAAGCAACGCGAAGAACCUUACCAAGGCUUGACAUCCCUUGACGUGCAUAGAAAUAUGUACUCCCUUCGGGGCAAGGAGACAGGUGG